UGGCCCCAACAUUCGGUUCUCACAGUUUUUCGCUCUCGAGCAGAGCUUUUCAUUUGUCUGGCUAUUGACUUUGGUUGCCAUUGGCGUGUCUGGCAGUGCUUAAGCUGCAGCAAAGUGUCUGCCGGGAAGACUCGAACGGAAAAUUUUCCGUCGGAUGGAACUGGGGCUGGAGCUCGACUUGGACUUGGACUUGGCGGUCGAAGGUGUCUCCACAUAUGGGUUUUUUUUCGGGUGGAAAGUGCGGCGAGUGCUGCCAAGUAUCUUCGGAUUUGACUCUUCCGGUUCGGAAUUUUAGCCCAGACAAAACGUUCAAUUUCCUUAUCUUCGCUGCAACAAUUGAGAAUUUUCUUUGGCCGUUUAAGUGGUUCGGCGUUCGGGCUCCUCAAGUGCUUAAUUUAUGGCGUAAAAUAUGGAAAUCGGCGGGAAAACAGAAAUGCCGACAAUGAGACAACAUUUUUCAUCUCCCUCUGCGACAGUUGCCGUCCCUGUCACUGGCGGUCUCCCCUUGAACUUGAGGGGCACACUGGGCGAAAAU
ensembl:ncRNA lncRNA:CR44738 long non-coding RNA:CR44738